GAUGAACGCUGACAGAAUGCUUAACACAUGCAAGUCAACUGUGGCGGACGGGUGAGUAACGCGUAAAGAACUUGCCUAACAGAUAGGGACAACAUUUGGAAACGAAUGCUAAUACCUGAUACUGGGAGAGCGCUUGGCGUCCCAUUCGCUAGUUGGGGAGGUAACGGCUCACCAAGGCGAUGAUGGUUAGCCGGCCUGAGAGGGUGAUAGGCCACAAGGGGACAGGGACAGCGCCAUUACUCAUACGGGAGGAAGCAGUGGUGAAUAUUGUAAAAUGGACCAAAGUCUGAUCCAGGAAUUCUGUGUGCACGAUGAAGUUGUCGGAAUGUAAAGGGCUUUCAGUUGGGAAGCGGUACCAACAGAAGAAGUGACGGCUAAAUACGUGCCAGCAGCCGCGGUAAUUC
rnacentral:rRNA from 1 species